rnacentral:rRNA from 1 species
UACGUAGGGGGCAAGCGUUAUCCGGAAUUACUGGGUGUAAAGGGUGCGUAGACGGCGAUGCAAGUCUGAAGUGAAAGGCGGGGGCCCAACCCCCGAACUGCUUUGGAAACUGUAUGGCUGGAGUGCAGGAGAGGUAAGUGGAAUUCCUAGUGUAGCGGUGAAAUGCGUAGAUAUUAGGAGGAACACCAGUGGCGAAGGCGGCUUACUGGACUGUAACUGACGUUGAGGCUCGAAAGCGUGGGGAGCAAAC